UCAAAAACAGCGGCCUUGCGCUCGCCCGCCGGCCCCUGCUCCUUACUUGCCUACUGCACCGUAUUGUUGCUUCCUGGCGGCGGACUGCCCUGCCGCCAGUGGACCUUGAUACAACCCUGUAUAGUAGCAAUUGAAGCUCUGAGAAAAACACUAAUCUUA
rnacentral:misc_RNA from 1 species